UGACUCAAUUUUGUUAAAUUAAGGAUCAAAUUGAUCACUUUCAAAAUUGGAGGACCCAACUGAAACGAACCCACAGAUACACAGGGACCUCCGAACUUAUUAAACCUGCAUUAAAACAAAGUUGGAUGGGAAGAGAAGUUACGUUAGGUUGAGGGAUUCACACAAAGAAAAAGCAAAGAGAACGAAUGAGAUUGGAAGAUAAUUUCAUGUUCUCGUCACUGGAAUAUGUUUUUGAAUCUGUGAAUCAGAAAGUAAAUGCGACUGCCAUUAACAGGAGACCGCAAAGCUUAUCACCGGAACAGAGAUGUUUUUGAAUCUGAGAAUCAGAAAGUAAAUGUGAUUGGCAUUAUUAAGAAACCGUACCACCGGAACAGCAUCUUCUUCCCUUACAAUCGGAGCCUUUGCCAACUGGCGGAUCCAUCCUGAGAAUAACAUUGGAGACAGCAGUCAAUCAUCAUGAUCGUGUGACACCUAUUACUUUAACCGGUGUUCUCACUUGUUCAGUGGAGGCCCUUUCUGAUGGUUUUUCCUGGCGUUGAGAAAGAAGUUGAAUGGAGUAUCUAAAUAAAGAGGAUCAAUAGUCGUUGGACAAGGAAUACUGCCAUUGAAUAAUCUUACUCUGUUCUUCUUGGUUUCAAGAGCUACCAACAUCUCUCGGUAGCAUUGAUGAAAUUUGUUUUCAGUUAAUUGAGGAGAAACAAGAGUGACAACAUCAAUCAAGGUGACAAAUUGUUUGCCAUACUUGAACUUCCAUUCAUUGACACGCAAAACUACAAAAGGAUGCAAUUGUCUUUUUUUUACCUGCAUAAUUGCAAAUGCUAGAGGGAACGUUCCAUUAUUUUCUUUAAUUAUGCAAAAAUGAACAUCACACAACAAUUAUGGCCCUUUUAAGUUGCAGCCAUCUCUUUUCACCAACUUAUAAAUUCCAACAACAGAGCAUAAAACCCACCGGGAAAGGUUAAUCUUCUAGAAGCAGGAAAGAUAUAAGAGGAGAGAAGAGUUUUAAGCUGGAUAGAAAAGAUCAGGGCUGUCAGCUUUUUUUUGCUCAAAAUAGUGGAAGUAUUGCCGUUGUUGCUGCUGUUGGGAUGUAAUUUACUUUCUCGGUAAUUUUUAAUUAUAUUAUCUUUUGUGUCGAGAUAUGUUUGUCUUUGUUUUCUCGUACUGUACUUACUUUUAUGAACAUGUUUCUAAUGAUAAUAAGUCUUUAAUAUUGACCGCUAAGAGAUACAAUUAUCCGGAUAAGAGACAUCUGGAUGUCUGUCCCCAAAUUAACAGUUACUACUUUCUUUGUGAGCUCUAUUGCUCAGCUGAUAAUUGUUGCCUUGCCAUGAGGUUAGGGGAAGUAGAAAAGUAAUUGAAGAAAAUGCAAAUUUAUCAUGGAGAGAUUAUUAGCAUUCCUUUAUAAAACGUAUGAAAGUUAUUUUAUAAUAUAGUAAUACAUUAAAAAGCUAUUAAUAGAAAUUAUUUUCAUGAAGAUCCCGUGUCUCCUCAAUUUGUAGAAGAAGCUAUAUAAAAUAGUCAUAAUUGAAAUACAUUACCUCUUGGCUGUGUAUUGAAACAAAGACUUUCAGCUGCGAUCACCGAAAUAAUGCAUGAUUAUGUUCAUGUAAAACAUCCAACAGCCAUAAUUGUAAAGAUAUACAAAAGGCACCAUUUGUGUAUUGCCUGGAGUUUGAUGUUAAUCAGUACGUGUCUUGUUAUCCAUAUUUUAACUUCGGUUUUGAGAGAUUAUGUGUACUUUUCUCUUGAAUUCUAAUUUGAUUUUCAUGACUGCAUUUAUGGUUCAUAACACAAUAUUUCUAUAGUGCUUUUAAGUGUUUACCUUUUUCCUAAGAGUUAUAAUACUACUUGUUUUCCAUAUUCCCAAAAAUAUUGCAUGCUUUUGAAACAAAGUGAUAGAAUAAUUAUACCUAUGUAUAAUUAUUAAGCUUACUUAAGGGUUGUGUGCUACUUGACCGAGUAAUACCUAGGUUUGCAACUAGGUGUCUAGGGUAGACCCUUAAUUUUCUAUCUACGUUUAUCAGAACUUUAUUAUAAAUAGAAGAAAGUGAAAGGGAUCAAUUAAGUCUACAAGAAAUAUUUUACCGUAUCAAUCUCAACAUGGUAUUAGAGCAAGUUUUAGAAGUCUCUUUUUAUUCUGUCUUUAUUGGUUAUCAUCACUUUCGGCCUUAAUUUUUUUUCUUGCGAACAAUAGUUCUGUUCUUCUAAUCUCAUUAUCUACUGUAUUCUAUUUUUGUUUUUUGGUUUCUAUUGUUGUUGACCUUCGUUAUCCACCGUCUGUCUGUCGUCUCCAUUAGUACAGUUACGACUGGUGAGCACUUGAUCAAGAUUGUUGCGUUGAGCGAUGAUCAUUCUCGUUCGAAUUAAUGAGAACCUUCCAUCCCUACUCCUCCUCGCUUGUUAUAUGGAUCUUAAGCGCGUGUUUGCAAUCUAUGUUCUGAACCUCCAUAAAAGCCACCCCAUAAUAGAAGUUGUGCUAUCUCAAUCUACCUUCUCGUGGUCCAUCCAAGCAUCAUUCACGAGUUGAUUGUGGAUUCGUCCUUGCGAUAGCCAGCCCAUUGUGACCUAGGACAGAUUAAACAUUGCAGAUAUUGAGAAAUCACAAUUUUUUUUAAACCUUAGAAUCAGAAAUCCCUAGAUUUCUAUCUAUUUCAUUUUGCAAGCCAGGGAGACCUCGCUCUUACUUUCUAUGAUUGAAGAAAGUAAUUCGUUUCUGAGUCACUAGCCCUUUGUCAAGUCUAUUUUCGGGUGCUUUGAUAAACAAAGGAGAACAGUCUUUCGAAAACACAACUCUUCCACUUUUAUCAGCGCUUGCCAUUUCUCUCGUUCAAUGAGAGUGGGAGUAUGUGUCUAUACGGUCAUUCUUCGACUUCUUAGUCCCGAUAGUUUUGUCAAAAUCAGCCCCUGCAAUUCGUGUCUGUCAGUCUGUUGAUGGUCUGAAGCAUACAUGUAUCUUGUUGUAUAGACCAAGCUUUUAAAGAGAUCUCAAAUAGAGUUUAUCUAUUCUAAGUUUGGUUUAUACAAUAUGUAUGCGGUUGAAAUGGAUUGUUAGAAUAAUUUUACCUAUGUAUAAUCAUUAAGCUUAUUUAAGGAUAAUAUGCUAAUUUGGUAUAUGGAGUAGUACCUAGGUUUUAACCUAGGUGUUUAGGGUAGACUUUUGAUCUUCCAUGCGUGUUAGUAUCAAAACUUUAUUAUAAAUAGAUGAAAGUGAGAGGGAUCAACUAAGCUCUUCAGAAAUAUUUUAGAGCUUCAACCUCAACGUAAAGUUUUAGUAUAAAACAGUAAAUGAGGAACAAAUUUAUACAAGAAAUAUUAAGAUUUUAGUACUAAACAGUCUAAUGCAUUUAAGUCAUAUUUUUCAAAAAGUUAAGCUGUAUCUUUGAUAUGACUCUAUCUAGAAGUUUUCUUUGUUUGGAAUUAUUAGGUACUUCUCCUGUUUAGAGAAUACUAAGGAGAAAUAUUUGAAAACUCAUAUACUUAUAAACAUUUGUGGCAUUUUCAUUGAAAUUAUGGAUGUUCAAACUUAAAAUAUUAUGGAAUAAAUAUUUGUUAAAUAGUAAAAAUAUCUGUGUUUUAAAAGUAUAUAGAAACAUACGAACAUGAUAAAUAUUUAAGAAAUAUUUAUUCGAUAAAGAAUGAUAUUUUAAGUACGUGCAUGCACAACUUCAAUGAAAAUGUCUCAAAUAAUUGUAAGUGUAUGAACUUUGAAAUAUAUUUUGUCAGUAUUCUUAAAGAAAGUGGAAUAUUUAAUAAUUUUGAAGAAAAUAAAACUAUUAGAGACAACCCAUCCAACUUGACUUUUUUAGCAUUAUGACAUAAAUGAAUCAAAUUGUGAAGAUAUUACUUUCAAAAUAUCAAUAGUGUUUCGUAACUAGUCUUUGAUAUUUCUGUGGGUAAAUUUUUCCCUGAUUUAUAGUCGUAUGGUAAAACAUUGUUUAAAGGGUAGUAUAUUCUUGUACUGAUUUUAUUCAAGCCAAUUAAAAUCGUAUGCUUUUUUCUUUUUUACUUCUCGUUAAGUGUGUGUAGUCUCUCGGAUAGAUUUUGGAAUUGUAUAUUACUUGUAGUGUAAUGCUAAUUAAUACUUAUGUCUCCAUAUUUUCUAGCAAUUUAGAUGAUCUAUUAAUAUAUUAGAAUUUAGAGUCAAUUAUGAAAUGUGUAAUUUCUUAAAAAGUUGUAAUUAUUAAAAAAAUUGAAGUGUUUUUUUUUUUUAGGUAUGACAUUGUUAUAAAGUAAGUGGUUUAAGCAUCUUAUUUGUAGGACCAUGCUUAUCAAUCAGGCGAAUUAACUUGUAAACUUAGACAAGUUUAUGUUUGUACACAUAGCUUUCGAGUCAACUCAGAAGCAAACCUGAUUUUUAUGUAAAGUUGGUAGAGUCGUGUGAAGUCGGUCAAACACGCCAUUUUGUAACCGAGUUGACGAGUUCAAAUAGAAGAUUUUUUUACUAUGUUUCACCGUGUUGUAUAAAUUAUAAUAUUUUAACUUGUGAGUUGCCUAAUAUAAAUUUUAUUUGUUUUCUGAAUUACAACUGGAGCCUUUGUCAACUGUCGGAUAAUCCAUCCUGAGAAUAACUUUUGAGCAGGUGUUGAGAAGAGUCACUUAGACCUUCUAAGCAUUGGGAAAUGGGUAAGUUUACGGAUGUUGUUCUUAAAUUGCAUACCUGUGCCAUGGCCUGUUUUAGCCUUGAUUUUUUCUCUCUUUUUACCUCACCUAUACCACGGACACACUAGAAACACUAUGGAUCUUGAAUGCAUUUCUAAUUUAAUUGGUGUGAUUAAAAGUUUUCCAAGUUUAUGAUAAUGUGAAUUUGGAUGAUGUGCCGAUAGUUAAACAACUUCACUGAAACACUUGAGAGAAAGAGAUGUAAACACUGUCUUGGUGAGAUCAAUUCUUGUUUAGAUGUUUAUUUGGAUUGUUUGCUAUUUCAUUUUAUUGAUUUGAGUUGUUUUUGAAACUUAGAUUAGAUUAUUUUUGAACUUGGAAUGUAGAUUUUUUUUCAAUGCAGAAUUGAUAGCAGAUUUUUGAGUCCAGUUUUUGUUAGUUGGUCUGUUUUCUUUGUUCUUUUUGUUUUAGGUUUACCCAACAGUACAAAUGCUUAAGUGUCGGGGUGUUAUGACUCUAAUUGUUCAUAUUUUAAUAAGGUAAUUGUAUCUUCUUGGGUUGUGGCAAAUGGAGUUUUGACUGGUGAUUUAAUUGGUAUGAUACGCCAAGAAUUUUUAAGUUUGUAUUGGAUAAAAUGUUUUCUUUUUCUAUAAAAAACAUCACUUGGGAGCAUUAAGUAAGUGAUGUAAAAUCAGAUGGAGCAUAAUCUAUUGGUAGUGGAAUAGGUUAUCAAAUUGAACUGAAUAAAAAGGAACUGUUGAUGAGAUUAGUUUUCAGUCAAUUGAGAAGAAACGAGUGACACAUUCAAUCAAGGUGACAAAUUGUUUUGCUAUACUUUGAACUUCCAUUAAUUGACUCUCAAGAACUCUAAGAGGAUGCAAUUGUCUUUGUUUUUUUCAAAUGCUAGAGGGAACGUCCCAUUAUUUUCUGUAAUCAUGCAAAAUUUAAGUUGCAGUUAUCUCAUUACACCAACUUAGAAAUUCCUUCACGCUAUCUACAUUCAAAAGUUAGGAUAACAUAAAUUCUUUUUAUUUUAACAAAUAUAGCUAGAUUUCAAGUUGACAUUAUAGAUGCUUUGUGAUUUUGUAUUGUUUA